AGGCUUGUAUGAAUGGUUGGACAAAAAGUAAGCUGUCUCAAUUAUAAUAAUUGAACUUAACUUUUAAGUGAAAAGGCUUAAAUAAAUUAGGGGGACGAUAAGACCCUAUAAAGCUUGACAAUAAUUUAAUUAUACUAUCAAUUGUUAGUGUAACUUGGUUUUAAUUAAAAUUUGUUGCGUUGGGGCGACGAGAAUAUAAUAGGUAACUGUUCUUAAAUAUUUAAUAACAAAUAUAAUUGAAAAUUAGUAUGAUCCUCUAUUAGCGAUUAAAAGAUUAAGUUACUUUAGGGAUAACAGCGUAAUCU
rnacentral:rRNA from 1 species